AUGGAGGGCAAGGAGGAGGACGUGCGUCUGGGCGCCAACCGGUACUCGGAGCGGCAGCCGAUCGGAACGGCAGCGCAGGGCGCGGACGACAAGGACUACAAGGAGCCGCCGCCGGCGCCGCUGUUCGAGGCGGAGGAGCUGACGUCGUGGUCCUUCUACCGCGCGGGGAUCGCCGAGUUCCUGGCCACCUUCCUGUUCCUGUACAUCAGCGUGCUCACGGUGAUGGGCGUGGUGGGCAACCCCUCCGGCUCCAAGUGCGGCACCGUGGGCAUCCAGGGCAUCGCCUGGAGCUUCGGCGGCAUGAUCUUCGUGCUCGUCUACUGCACCGCCGGCAUCUCCGGCGGCCACAUCAACCCCGCCGUCACCUUCGGGCUGUUCCUGGCCAGGAAGCUGUCGCUCACCCGGGCCGUGUUCUACAUGGUGAUGCAGUGCCUGGGGGCCAUCUGCGGCGCCGGGGUGGUGAAGGGGUUCCAGACCACGCUGUACAUGGGCAACGGCGGCGGCGCCAACUCGGUGGCGCCGGGGUACACCAAGGGCGACGGCCUGGGGGCGGAGAUCGUGGGGACCUUCGUGCUCGUGUACACCGUCUUCUCCGCCACCGACGCCAAGCGCAGCGCCAGAGACUCCCACGUCCCCAUCCUGGCGCCGCUGCCGAUCGGGUUCGCGGUGUUCCUGGUGCACCUGGCGACGAUCCCCAUCACCGGCACCGGCAUCAACCCGGCGCGCUCCCUCGGCGCCGCCAUCAUCUACAACAAGAAGCAGUCGUGGGACGACCACUGGAUCUUCUGGGUGGGCCCGUUCACCGGCGCGGCGCUGGCGGCCAUCUACCACGUGGUGGUGAUCAGGGCCAUCCCCUUCAAGAGCCGCGGCUAG
rnacentral:rRNA from 1 species